rnacentral:rRNA from 1 species
AGUGAACGCUGGCGGUAGGCCUAACACAUGCAAGUCGAGCGGCAGCACAGUAAGAGCUUGCUCUUACGGGUGGCGAGUGGCGGACGGGUGAGGAAUACAUCGGAAUCUACUUUUUCGUGGGGGAUAACGUAGGGAAACUUACGCUAAUACCGCAUACGACCUACGGGUGAAAGCAGGGGAUCUUCGGACCUUGCGCGAUUGAAUGAGCCGAUGUCGGAUUAGCUAGUUGGCGGGGUAAAGGCCCACCAAGGCGACGAUCCGUAGCUGGUCUGAGAGGAUGAUCAGCCACACUGGAACUGAGACACGGUCCAGACUCCUACGGGAGGCAGCGGUGGGGAAUAUUGGACAAUGGGCGCAAGCCUGAUCCAGCCAUACCGCGUGGGUGAAGAAGGCCUUCGGGUUGUAAAGCCCUUUUGUUGGGAAAGAAAAGCAGCAGGUUAAUACCCCGCUGUUCUGACGGUACCCAAAGAAUAAGCACCGGCUAACUUCGUG